AACUCAGGGAAACUUGUGCUAAUACCGAAUGUGCCCUUCGGGGGAAAGAGUUAUCGCCAUUAGAGCGGCCCGCGUCUGAUUAGCUAGUUGGUGAGGUAAAGGCUCACCAAGGCGACGAUCAGUAGCUGGUCUGAGAGGAUGAUCAGCCACAUUGGGACUGAGACACGGCCCAAACUCCUACGGGAGGCAGCAGUGGGGAAUCUUGCGCAAUGGGCGAAAGCCUGACGCAGCCAUGCCGCGUGAAUGAUGAAGGUCUUAGGAUUGUAAAAUUCUUUCACCGGGGACGAUAAUGACGGUACCCGGAGAAGAAGCCCCGGCUAACUUCGUG
rnacentral:rRNA from 1 species